UCCAUGAGAUUUACUGUAUUUCACUUAUGU
rnacentral:piRNA from 1 species